rnacentral:tRNA from 1 species
AGACAAUUAGUUUAAGAAAAACAUUUGGUUUCGGCCCAAAAGCUUGUGGUUUAAGUCCAUAAUUACCUA